rnacentral:rRNA from 1 species
AAACUAACAAGGAUUCCCCUAGUAACGGCGAGUGAAGAGGGAAGAGCCCAAGAUUGAAAGCUGGCGUCUUCGGCGUCCGCAUUGUAAUCUCAAGAAGUGUUUUCCGCUUCGGACCAAGCCUAAGUCCCCUGGAAAGGGGCAUCAUAGAGGGUGAUAAUCCCGUACAUGGCUUGGAGCGCCCGAGGCUUUGUGAUACGCUUUCUAAGAGUCGAGUUGUUUGGGAAUGCAGCUCAUAAUGGGUGGUAAAUGCCAUCUAAGGCUAAAUAUUGGGGAGAGACCGAUAGCGAACAAGUACAGUGAUGGAAAGAUGAAAAGAACUUUGAAAAGAGAGUUAAACAGUACGUGAAAUUGCCAAAAGGGAAGGGUAGGAGGUCAGAGAUGCGGCCUGGGAUUCAGCCUUGCUUUUGCUUGGUGUUUUUCCCAGAUUGCAGGCCAACGUCGGUUUUGGGCACUGGAGAAGGGUAGGAGGAACGUGGCACCCCUCGGGGUGUGUUAUAGCCUCCUACUGGAUACAGCGACCGAGACCGAGGACAGCAGCGUACUCGCAAGAGCGGGCCUUCGGGCACCUUUACGCUUAGGGCGUUGGCAUAAUGGCCCUCUACCACCCGUCUU